rnacentral:rRNA from 1 species
AUACGGAGGGUGCAAGCGUUACUCGGAAUCACUGGGCGUAAAGCGCGCGCAGGCGGUCUUUUAAGUUGGAUGUGAAAGCCUACGGCUCAACCGUAGAACUGCAUCCAAAACUAUUAGACUAGAGUGUGGGAGAGGAAGAUGGAAUUAGUUGUGUAGGGGUGAAAUCCGUAGAGAUAACUAGGAAUACCAAAAGCGAAGGCAAUCUUCUGGAACACUACUGACGCUGAGGCGCGAAAGCGUGGGGAGCAAACAGGAUUAGAUACCCUAGUAGUCC